CGCCGAACCCCUGCUGCCUCCUCCCUCCCUCGAUCCGUCGCCGAAACCCUAAUUUCUCUCCCCUCUCUCGAUCAACCACGACCGCCAUGGCCGCGUAACCCCUACUGCCUCCGCCCUCUCUCGAUCCGCCGCCGAACCCCGACCAACCACGCCUGUGGUGACAGAGUGCACCAAAAACCUAAUUUCUCCCCACUCUCUCGACCAACCACGACGGCCACGAAGGUUAUCCAUGACAAGAAAGAGUUUUUAUGUUGUGAAGAGAGGUCGACGAUGUGGUAUUUUUUAUAAUUGGGAGGAAUGCAAAUCUCAGGCAGAUAAAUUCCCAAAUGCCUCCUACAAAGGGUAUGCAAGGUACGAAGAGGCUUUGAUUGAAUGGGAGAAGCACACACUCGCUCGUGAUUCAGCAUCCAGCUCGAGGCAUGUCCAAACAUCUGUUUAUGCUCAAGAACAAAGAUAUUCAGUGAGGCAAAAUCUGGAUGAGGACAAUGAAAAACUUGGGGCAACGGCUAGUUUCUCCAUCAAUGCUUUUGUAUUAGGUUCAUUGUUUACAAUAGUAGUGUUUCUCGUAUGUAUCGUUGCGGUAUUUGUUUGUUUCUCCAUUGCAAAAAACAUGUGAUGUUAUCUUUUCAUUUUUGGUUUCUCUGGUGUUUUAGCUGGGGCUCGUAUUGUCUGUUGUUGUCGAGUCUUGUAUCUAGUUUGGCGUCAGUGAUGUUUAGUGUCUGAGUCUAUUGAGGUUGCUUUUACUGGCUGAAGUUAUGGCAUUGUAAUCUUUGUGACCUUUUCUAAAUAUUAGUGAAAUAAUUCCUUUGUUCU